AUAUUAUUAUGUUUUUUUAUAGAAAUUAGCACGUCUUCACUAUGAUGAUAUUAUAAUGUUAUUAGCUGAUAGUUGUACCAAGACAUCAUCGAGAUAAUACCCUAAAAUGUAAAGGUCAAUCAUUUUCUAUCCUCUUUUGAACUCUAUAACUCAAUAGAUCAAAUUUAUCUUUAAAAAUAUCUACGUCAUUAAUUCCCUAACAAAUAAUGAUAACAAACAUUUCAUAAUGUACUCACUCCAUCCCAAAAUGUUAGUAUGUUGUAAUUGCCGUGAAAUAAUGUAAAAAUCAGAAAAUCAUGUUUUGGUAGAUUCUGCCUGCUCACGCCCAGGCGUGGGAGCUGGCGCCCAGGCGUGAAAAACUGGGUUGAACUCUGCUUGCUCACGCCCAGGCAUGGGAGNNNNNNNNNNNNNNNNNNNNNNNNNNNNNNNNNNNNNNNNNNNNNNNNNNNNNNUUUUCUGAUUUUUUUUAAAAAGAUUUUUAGGGUUUCUGAGGCCAACAAACAGACUAGGGUUAUAAGAGAAACAUCUUGUGAAGACUCUAGGGUUGGGUAAUCAUUCUAUCACCUUGGGAAACACUUUCAUUGAAAUCUCUUGGUCAUGGGAAGAGAUUUGGGAAAAGGGUAGAAAUAGGAUAACUCUAUUUUCUUGUAACUCUUUCGAGAAUCUCAUUGUAAUCAAGGAACAAAGUUUGAUAGUGGAACGAAGAGCUGCUCUCUCCUCCAAAGUAGGUCACAUUGACUGAACUGGGUAAACAAUUUAUUGUGUCAUUUUCUUUCUCGCCGUUUAUUAUUAUUUGUGAUUAUUAUUGCCGUUCACUUAUUUUGAUUGCUUAAUCGUAUUUGCUCCACACAUCAAGAUUAUUAUUGGUGUGAUUUAAUCGAAUUCACAACAUGGAGUUUUGCACGCAGAUUAAGAAAUGAUAAAGAUUAAUAAAAGGAGCAAAGAUUUGGAACGAAGGGAGUAUUAAAUAUUCUUCUACUUAUUGUUGCAUCCGUUGGAUUGCCUAUUUUUAUCAUUUAUUAAUAUAUUAUAUGAAAGGAGAAAGAAGUUAUAAGAGUAACAACAAUAUGAUAAGCAAACAAAAUGGAAUGUCAAAAUAGAGAAAUAAGAUUUACUCUAUCAGGCUUAUACAAUAACCUCCAUAGCACGUCAAUGAUCCAUGAGGCUCACUUGGAUCUAAUUUAUAGCAGUCGUAGUCGGUAUCACACUUUGCUGUAAUGUACAAUAAGGUAUAAGGAAAUAUUACUAAAAAAUGGGUGAAAGGUUGUGUAUAAAAUAAACAAAAAAUAUUAAGAGAAUGAACUUACUUUGACCAACGACCGCAAUGAUAAAAAGAGAAACAAAAAAGAUCACAAUAUAAACAAAUUUGAGAGUGUGAGCCAUUUUUUUCACCUUUGCAUGUAAAAAACAUAAAAUGGUUUUUUUUACACAAAAAUAUGUAAUGGUUUAAGUACUUUAUAUAGUAAAAACCUCUUGAUAUAUGGUUACAUCAUUUUUAAUGAUGAUAUUGUUAUAAUAAGUUCUUUUUAAAUCAUAAUAAUUAUCGAAUAUCUCUAAAGUACAAUAUGAAUAAUAUUUUUAGCUCAUAAAAUAGAUCUCACUGAAUGACUAUAUAUGUAAUUGUGGAGUUCGUUUUUGUUUUACCAGCCUUUCAUUAUUAUUAUUUUUAUCUCUUAUAUUUAGCCUUUCGUAAUAGAGAGGGAAAAAAAAUCAUGUAUUGGUAUUAGCAGAACUCGAUCCACAUAUCUUAAUGGUCUCAUAUUUGUAUCUUGUUGUUAAAUAAAAUAUGAUUAGAAGGAGAGACCUAGUUAAAAAUUACCAAUAAAAUUUUAUUGUUGAAGUCCAAGGACAAUGUUUAGAGUUGUUAAGAUGGGCUAGUCGCAUGCGCUGACAUGCUAAACCCGAAAAAAACAUAGGGCUUGAGCCUUAAAUUUUCAUCCCAAAUUUUUUAAGAAUUUUUUAGCCCAACCCAUUUUAAAUAUGGGUUAAUCCGUAUGGCCACUGGUAGCCAACUAGUCGAAUAAAUUAUAAUAAAAAAAUAUGAGUAAAGAGCAUGAGACUAGAGAGCACACUGUCGUUUCAUAUUAAUUUUUACUUAGUUAUUUGAACCAAUCCAAUAUGUUAAGCCCACUAGUUACAAGUUUGUUACAUUUUGUUACCAAAUUUGUUAGAAAGUUUUAUCUAUUUACAUUUAUGUUGUUAUUAACAAAUUUGUUAUCCAGAUUAUAUGUUGUAGGAUAGUAAUUAUGAUCUUUAUAUAAUGAUUAAUUUUAUGCUAUUGAACAAGUGGUGCUUGAGAGCUUUAUAAUUAAUAGAAUAAUAGAAUAGUUGCUGAUUUUUUGCAGUAGUUCACUACUUAAUUGUUACUUCCAUUUUAUUCAUGUCAUACCUUUUUACAUCAUUAGGGAUUAGGGAUGUAAAUUUCAUCCAUAAUUGGGAAUCACGCGGAGAUUGUCUCGUUUGGGGACCGUAACACCUUAAACCCAGAUAAAAAAAAAUUAAGACUAGAAGUAUAAAAUUAUUGGUUCAAAGUAUUACAUUCUUCUAUAUACAUUACUAAUAUAAUUAAUUAGUAAACAUCACUUCUAUAAAAAUCAUUUUCUAAAAUAAUACAUCGAUUUUUAAUUAAAUAAAACAACAGAAAGAAAGAAUCCAUGAACUCUUCCCUAGUGUCACAAUCAGAGCGAAAUUUCACCAAAUAACCGAAACAUCCAGAAACACACAACCUGAGAAUAUGAGCUCCCAAGAACCCAACACAUACACAAAAUAGAUGGUAAGAAUAAACUCAUAACAAUGACUUAAUAUAAGGAAUAUCAGACACUAAUAAAUAGGGGUGUGCAAAAUAACCGAUUACAUGGUCAAAUCCACAAUCACAUCCAGAUCCGAUCUUAAAAAUCCAGAUAAUUCUAAAGUGGUAUUUAACCAAUCCAUUUACAUCUGGUUGGUUAUCCAUAUAUGAAAACCGGUUAUUUAACCGGAUGUCCAUAUCCAAAACCAAUUUUUAGUGUGCUUUUUUUUUCGGACCAAUUUCCUUAUUGUUAAUGACAACAACCUCAAAUUCAAUUUCAUUUUGUAGAUUUCACAAAAUUGGAACAAUUUUUAGAUUCAUGAUUUCUAUAAAAUUUACAAUCAACAAAUUGAUAAAUAACAGGGGGAGAGAAACAGAGAGAAAGAGCGUGAGAGAACAGUGGUCGAAACGCGCCGACAGNN
rnacentral:lncRNA from 1 species